AUUGAACGCUGGCGGCAUGCUUUACACAUGCAAGUCGAACGGUAACAGGCCUUCGGGUGCUGACGAGUGGCGAACGGGUGAGUAAUGCAUCGGAACGUACCCAGAGGUGGGGGAUAACGCAGCGAAAGCUGUGCUAAUACCGCAUGUGAUCUGAGGAUGAAAGCGGGGGACCGAGCAGCAAUGUUUGGCCUCGCGCCUUUGGAGCGGCCGAUUUCGGAUUAGCUAGUUGGUGGGGUAAAGGCCUACCAAGGCGACGAUCCGUAGCUGGUCUGAGAGGACGACCAGCCACACUGGGACUGAGACACGGCCCAGACUCCUACGGGAGGCAGCAGUGGGGAAUUUUGGACAAUGGGCGCAAGCCUGAUCCAGCAAUGCCGCGUGCGGGAAGAAGGCCUUCGGGUUGUAAACCGCUUUUGGCAGGAACGAAACGGUGUCCGCUAAUACCGGGCGCUAAUGACGGUACCUGCAGAAUAAGCACCGGCUAACUACGUG
rnacentral:rRNA from 1 species